UACGUAGGGGCCGAGCGUUGUCCGGAGUUAUUGGGCGUAAAGCGCGCGCAGGCGGCCUCGCGCGCCCGACGUGAAAGCCCCCGGCUUAACCGGGGAGGGUCGUUGGGGACGGCGGGGCUUGAGGGCGGGAGAGGUCGGUGGAAUUCCCGGUGUAGUGGUGAAAUGCGUAGAGAUCGGGAGGAACACCUGUGGCGAAGGCGGCUCACUGGUCCGGUACUGACGCUGAGGUGCGAAAGUGUGGGGAGCAAACAGG
rnacentral:rRNA from 1 species